rnacentral:rRNA from 1 species
CAAUAGCGUAUAUUAAAGUUGUUGCGGUUAAAAAGCUCGUAGUUGGAUUUCUGCCGAGGACGACCGGUCUGCCCACUGGGUGUGUAUCUGGCUCGGCCUGGGCAUCUUCUUGGAGAACGUAUCUGCACUUGACUGUGUGGUGCGGUAUCCAGGACUUUUACUUUGAGGAAAUUAGAGUGUUUCAAGCAGGCACACGCCUUGAAUACAUUAGCAUGGAAUAAUAAGAUAGGACCUCGGUUCUAUUUUGUUGGUUUCUAGAACUGUGGUAAUGAUUAAUAGGGAUAGUUGGGGGCAUUCGUAUUUAACUGUCAGAGGUGAAAUUCUUAGAUUUGUUAAAGACGGACUACUGCGAAAGCAUUUGCCAAGGAUGUUUUCAUUGA